GACGAACGCUGGCGGCGUGCUUAACACAUGCAAGUCGAACGGAAAGGCCCUGCUUUUGUGGGGUGCUCGAGUGGCGAACGGGUGAGUAACACGUGAGUAACCUGCCCUUGACUUUGGGAUAACUUCAGGAAACUGGGGCUAAUACCGGAUAGGAGCUCCUGCUGCAUGGUGGGGAUUGGAAAGUUUCGGCGGUUGGGGAUGGACUCGCGGCUUAUCAGCUUGUUGGUGGGGUAGUGGCUUACCAAGGCUUUGACGGGUAGCCGGCCGGAGAGGGUGACCGGCCACAUUGGGACUGAGAUACGGCCCAGACUCCUACGGGAGGCAGCAGUGGGGAAUAUUGCACAAUGGGCGGAAGCCUGAUGCAGCAACGCCGCGUGCGGGAUGACGGCCUUCGGGUUGUAAACCGCUUUCGCCUGUGACGAAGCGUGAGUGACGGUAAUGGGUAAAGAAGCACCGGCUAACUACGUG
rnacentral:rRNA from 1 species